GAGAUUGACGAGUGUGCCAGCGAGCCGUGUCAGAAUGGCGGGAGCUGCAUCGACGCAUUCAACAGUUUUUCGUGUAACUGCUCAGUUGGCUACACCGGCGACGUAUGUCAGACACGUUGGCUGACGCUAGCUGUAUUUGAAGCGUUGAAUGCAAACGUCGCUAUCCUUGAGUCGCAAUUAGCUGAGGCGAACCGCACCAUCCGGGCGAGCCUGAAUGCAAACGUCGGCAUCCUUGAGUCGCAAUUAGCUGAGGCGAACCGCACCGUCCAUGGUCGCAUAAACAAGUUGGAAGGCCCUGUGUCUACAUUGCAGGAGUUACAACAGUGCAAUCCAGCAUCACUAGGGUUCGCCUAUACGACACAUAGCAGAAGCGUAGGCGGGAUUACCCAACUGGCUAGCCUCCAAUUCACGAAGAAACGUGCAUCCACACUUUUACGGAUCACUUACUCAACCACUAUUGAUACUUAUUCUCCUGCAGGGUCUGGAUCCUCUGCCUUGUGGUACGCCAAAAUUGACGGUCAAGAGUGCACUCAGCCAUCACGUCUGGGUAUUGCUCACUACCGAUAUCGCGGUAGUAAUUCCGGUAGCUUGUAUAUCCCUGGCUAUUUGGAAGGUCUUUGCAGAGCGACAAGUAAGGGACCAAUCAAACAGGGUUUUCACGUGAUCUCAAUUCACACAGGAGAAACUAGUUUUAGAGACGCACAUACUCCGAACUCAGGGAGGCUGGCACCAUCUCUUCUGCAAGUCAAAGAGAUCUGCGACCAUUAAGGAACUUUCGUUACACUGGCAACGUUAGAUCGGAUCAGUGAUUUCCUUCGCUCUCUCUCCAUCUGGGAUAUUGCAUAAUUAUACAUGUACAUGUAUAAUUAUGUACAUUUACAUGUAGUGUCCCUGUUAUUGGUUGACAGCAUGUAGCAAGGUGGAGGACACCGUGUUCGGAAACAGUGACCUUACUACAACCAUCACGGUUGGUAGAGCCCCGGUCUUUACGACCAUCUGCACCGUAUGGGUGUUAGACCCGGUUCUGACCCUCUUUAUUCUAGGGGAGUUGUCUAAGUGUUCUUCUUGUUGUACCGUCAGUCGUGUAUUCGUUGUUCGCUCCUGGAUGUCUUCUUGAUAUUCAGUCUUCGCAAAAUUUGUAGCUUCUGUUCUGAAUUGUUAUUCUUCUUUUUCUUUUUAUACUCGUUUUCCAACUACUUCUACCUCUUCUAUUGUAGUGUAACUCUAUACACAUGUUGUCUCAUUAGUAUCAGCUGACAUGUACACUGCUGCCUUUCCAUUUAUCUCACAUGCUUGCUUGUUCUACCCGUCGCACCAUUGAAUGCAUGGACUGUUGCCUGGGUACUGGCCGCCCCUUUGCUCCAUUCAGCCUUGCAGCCAUUGCUUUCAUGUAAUCGGCUGUACUUCGUUCACUAAUCUGUUUCGUCACCUACAUGUAGCCAAACUUUUUGAUUUUGUUGUUUGCAGUACGCUAUACAACUCUCCCUUUCAACCGCCUGCCAUUUAUCCACCUUUCUAUUCAGCUUCUCCCCCUUCUUUGCCAAUCUUCUGUCCACGCAUAAAUGUACCUACUUUGACCUUUCUUCUUCCUUCCCACUGCUCUGGUACGCAUUGCCCCUCACGCCGUCUACCUCUAAAAGCCAGCCUUUGUUUCCUUAGUUCAUAGUUAGUUCUAGCAACUAACCUCCAGGUGUGUACCGGAGUAAGUUCACUACUUUAGUGCCUUUUGCCUUCCUGAGGUUGCUACUCCGGGUGUGCACCGGUGAAAUGUCGACGCAAUAAUA